GACUACUGCGCCCCGUCAGAGGACUCCAAUUUUGAUACGGUUCUUGACUCCAGAGCUGGACAGUCUCAGGAGUAUUUGAGGGUCAAGAGGGAACUUGUCGUAAGAGCCGACUCACAUGCAGUAGCGCAUCCCCCUGCGACGGCUGCCAACCUUGAGCCUCCUCCCAGGCGAUGCCCCCUGCAGCUCAUCCCGGUCACGCCGCUCAUCCCAUCCUACCUAUCCUGCCCAUGCGUCACCUCCCCACAGUGCCCAGUCGACAGACAUUAGCAUACCGCUGGCCCCCAACUCCGCCACUGCCUCCAACCACCAGUAGUAGCUGCAGGCUAAGAUCCUCAGCCUGUUCAACAGCAGUGCCCGGGCAUCAGCCUCCGCAGCCAGCCCUGCCAUGGCCCCCCAGUCCCAGGCCUACAGCUCCACCAUGGGCAUCCAGUCCACGGGCCUCCCUAUGUCCUCAGACUCCCCUGUCCCCAAAAUGGCACCCUCACCAUCCCAAGCCCCCAACAUUAUGGGUGCCCCCCAGCGCCCCCUAUGGCUAUGGGUCGCCCACAGGCCGCAUGGCUGCCCCUCGAG